ensembl:lincRNA
GGCGUGGCCCCAGCCAUCUCAGCUUCACAGCCCCUUGCCUCCCUAUUUUAAGCCUGAGUAUGGAAGUUUUAGAGGAAUGGGGACCCAGUUCCUUGAAGCCCAGGCUAUGAGAAACCGGAGGGAAGGCCUCGUCUUGGAAGAGGACCCCGCUCUGCAGGCAUCUCGCCCGCAGAUUUUCAUAAUCCUGGCCCAGGAACUGAAAACUCCAGGCACUAAUGUCCUUCCACAAGCUGAACAUCAGAGCACUGGACAUUGGCCCAGGUCCAGCCGGACAGGUUGAGCUGAGCGCCUGGGUUGAGCUGCUUCCUGACCCUUACCCCUCGCGCAAGCACACAGAAGCACACAGGACUGAUCAGCGACAGCCCCCUAGCCCCAGAAGCAGUGGCCUGGGUCUGGACGCCCAACUUCUUACCUGGGGAAGGGGAGUUUGGGAGAUUGCUGCGGUCCCCGGGGCUGGCUUCCUUGGUGGCAGCUCAGGGCAGGGCCCAACCAGGAAGAGCGCUCCUCCCUGCCCUCCUCCCCGCCCUCCUCCACCGCCCCUCGGCCCUGGUCCCUCCCUCCCUGGUCCUCCACCUACUCCAGAGGCUCUUACCCGCUCCCUCUAGGCUCUCCCUUAUCUCCCCCGCAACACUUUUUUUACUAUCUCUUACUUAGGGUGCCUUUCAGUCCUUCCCUUCCUCCGCAGGCUCUAAGCCAGCUCUGCGAGAGGACAAAUUGGUAAAUGGCAGAGUUGCCUCCCGGGAGGAGCCGGUCGCCGGUCCGGGUGAGAAGGGUUGGACUGGGACAGAAGGGCACCGCCGGCCAGAGAGAGGGUAGGGCAAGGGGUAUUUUUAACUAGGGCCGCAGCUCGAGUUGCAGAGCCGCCGGCCCCACCCUAUGUCGCCCUCCGGGAAGGUACUGGGGACGAUCCGGCUCAGUGACGCCGCCAACACAGUCCUCCACCAGCCUCCUGCGCCCCCGCGUGCCUCUGGGUUGCAGCUGUCUUCCAGCUUAGCCGACGCUCGGCGAAGCAGGAAUUACCUCUGGUGGCCACAACUGCUUGCUGGAGCUGCCCCUGGCUGGGUGAGAGCUGACUUCUGCCGGACGCUAGACAAACGGCACCUUGACACUCCAAAAGUUAAAAGCUGACUGCGUCUGGCUUUCGCACCUGGGCUUUGUACUCAGCUGGGCGUAAGAUGAGAAAGACGCCUCUGCCUUCAUAGUUAAUGGAGAGGAAGGGUUGGUCCACACACUUUUCCCGGCUGAAGCCUGAUCCGAGUCAAACUCAGAUUGUCAAGUUUGGCAUCAAGCACCUUUACCCAUUGAGCCUUCUUAAAAACCUUCUUGAGAAAGUGGUGUCUUGAAUGAUUCUGAACCUUAGACUUUCUGGAAAGGAUGAAGAAGAAAAAAAGACAAAAUGAAGAGAUAGCUGGUUAGCAGAAGAUGAGAAGAAAGGGCUGAUGGGAUGGAUCACAGGAUGUUUUCAAGGCCAGGAAGCUACAGUUGUGGUGGAUACAGGGCAUGGCACUCUAUCUGUAAACCCCCAGAUCAGCAACAUUAAGGAUGAACCUGACUGUGAACUGUGGAGUUCAGGGAAUGAUAUUGUGUCUAUAUUGCUUCAACAAUUGUAACAAAAAUGGAAAAUGGCAAGUUUCCUUAGUUUUUGAGAUGCAGCCUUGUUGUGUAGCAUAAACUCAUCUAGAAGUCAUGGUUCUGCAAGAGCAGCCAGAUUGUGGUUCAAGAUCCUAGAACCCAUGUGAGUACUUGCGACUGUCUGUAACUCCAGUUCCAGGGAUUCUGGUGCCCCCUUCUGGCCUCUAUGAGCACUGCCCAGAAUGGUGCACACAUGUACAAACAAUCAUAAACAUAAAAUGAAACAAAUUUGUAAAUUUGUAAAUAAAUGGAGCUUGGGAU